rnacentral:rRNA from 1 species
GGAAGACCUAAAAAUAGAGGGCAAAAAGCCAACCGAGCUUGGUGAUAGCUGGUUACUCAACAAAUGAACCUUAGUUCAACUUUAGGUGCCCAUGGGCCAACUACUUUAACCCACCACCCUUUAACCUAAAGAAAUUCAAUGGGGGUACAGCCCCAUUGAACCGGAAUACAACCCGAAUUGAGAGACACCUACUAAACUUUAACCCUAACAGUAGGCCCCAAAGCAGCCACCAACUAAACGCGUUACAGCUACAACAAAACAAUUUUUACAAUAAUAUACACCUCCUAGUAUACCACGAGUUAUUCUAUUUUUUAAUAGAAACACCAAUGCUAAAAUUAGUAAUAAGAAACCCUAAUUUCUCUCCGCACCCCCUUAAAUCAGAAUAGAAAAACUACUGAUAAUUAACACAACACGACCUACCACAACUAGCUAACAUGUCAACUAAAAUCUGUUACCCCAACACAGGAGUGCAAUAAAGAAAGGCCAAAAGCCGUAAAAGGAACUCGGCAAAACUCUACCGUCCCCACUGUUUACCAAAAACAUAGUCUUUAUCUUAACAAGUAUUAAAGGUCCCGCCUGCCCAGUGACUCUUUAAACGGCCGCGGUAUCCUAACCGUGCAAAGGUA